rnacentral:rRNA from 1 species
AGUGAACGCUGGCGGUAGGCCUAACACAUGCAAGUCGAACGGCAGCACAGUAAGAGCUUGCUCUUACGGGUGGCGAGUGGCGGACGGGUGCGGAAUACAUCGGAAUCUACUUUUUCGUGGGGGAUAACGUAGGGUAACUUACGCUACUACCUCAUACGACCUACGGGUGAAAGCAGGGGAUCUUCGGACCUUGCGCGAUUGAAUGAGCCGAUGUCGGAUUAGCUAGUUGGCGGGGUAAAGGCCCACCAAGGCGACGAUCCGUAGCUGGUCUGAGAGGAUGAUCAGCCACACUGGAACUGAGACACGGUCCAGACUCCUACGGGAGGCAGCAGUGGGGAAUAUUGGACAAUGGGCGCAAGCCUGAUCCAGCAAUGCCGCGUGGGUGAAGAAGGCCUUCGGGUUGUAAAGCUCUUUUGUUGGGAAAGAAAAGCAGCAGGUUAAUAUCCCGCUGUUCUGACGGUACCCAAAGAAUAAGCACCGGCUAACUUCGUG